CCCCUAGAAGAUGAAGAACUGGUGGAGUACAUCAUCACCGGCUUGGGCGAAGAUUUCUCGCCCAUCGUCUCUGCUCUAUGCGCUAGAGUGGAACCCAUCUCCGUUGGUGAGCUUUAUUCACAACUUCUCAAUUUUGAAA
rfam:Setaria italica strain Yugu1 chromosome V, whole genome shotgun sequence.